rnacentral:rRNA from 1 species
GAUGAACGCUGGCGGCGUGCCUAAUACAUGCAAGUCGAGCGAACGGACGAGAAGCUUGCUUCUCUGACGUUAGCGGCGGACGGGUGAGUAACACGUGGAUAACCUACCUAUAAGACUGGGAUAACUUCGGGAAACCGGAGCUAAUACCGGCUAAUAUUUUGAACCGCAUGGUUCAAAAGUGAAAGACGGUCUUGCUGUCACUUAUAGAUGGAUCCGCGCUGCAUUAGCUAGUUGGUAAGGUAACGGCUUACCAAGGCAACGAUGCGUAGCCGGCCUGAGAGGGGGAUCGGCCAAACCGGAACUGAGACCAGGUCCAGAAUCCUACGGGAGGGAGCCGUGGGGAAUACUGCGCAAUGGGGGGAAGCCCGAACGAGCCAACCCGGGUGGGUGAAGAAGGUCUUCGGGUUGUAAAACCCUUUUAUUUGGGAAGAAAAACAGGUGUAGAAAACCGUGCUGUUCUGACGGUACCCUAAGAAUAAGCCCCGGCUAACUUCGUG